UGUCUCAGACUUCUCAACAGUGAAGGCCACACGAGGGAGGUGGUCUUCUAGACGCCAUCCUGAAAACACACCAUACAGUUUACUCUAAAACAAGGAGUAGAGCUGUGGGAAGAACAAGGUCCCAGGAAGUCAUCUCAAGUUAUCAUGAGGACAACAAUGCUGUGAGAAGGACAUCUUCAAAGAAAACCCUGAACAACAGUUUUUAAAAGAAGAUAAAGCAAAUCCAAUUUGUCGAGAUGUUUCUGCUGUUCUCAGAGAUAAAUCACAUUAUUGUGUUUUAUCAGCAGAUUGGUGGACAGUUUUAACAGCUUAAAACUGAAAACAAAAUGGAAAGGGCCUCUAGAGUCUCCGAAGAAUCCGCUAUUUCAGAGCCACAGCCAAUGAAUACCAUUUCUCAACCAUCUGCAUGGAGCUGUGAGACCAGGAACUCAUCCUUUCUUGGUACCAUUACCAGCUGUAAGUCAAGGCACACAAUGUGUCCUGAACUAUAAGAAAGGUGGUCACUCAUCCUCUCUCCUUGAGGCGAAGGUUACAUCUGCUCUUUCUUUCCUUCAGACCCUUGCUAGAACCUGCAGCUAAAUGUAUAAUACCUUUUGAAUACAUGUGUAAUAUGGACCAGGCCAAGCUGCUUAGGUGAAAGACUUAAAUAACCACAAAUAAUUGUAGGCAUUAAGUAAAAAAUCUAGAAUUUUGUGGAGUUGCAUCUUGUCUAAAAGAUGAUGAUGAUGAUGAUUUUUUAAAAUAUUUCUGGAAAACCAGAUUGCUGGAAAGUUUGUGUCUCAGAAAUGAGAGGUCAUCUUAGUUGAGUAUAUGUUUAAUAAAUGAGUAUCAUUUCCUCCAGC